AGUUUGAUCCUGGCUCAGGAUGGACGCUAGCUACAGGCUUAACACAUGCAAGUCGAGGGGCAUCAGUUUGGUUUGCUUGCAAACCAAAGCUGGCGACCGGCGCACGGGUGAGUAACACGUAUCCAACCUGCCUCAUACUCGGGGAUAGCCUUUCGAAAGAAAGAUUAAUAUCCGAUAGCAUAUAUUUCCCGCAUGGGUUUUAUAUUAAAGAAAUUCGGUAUGAGAUGGGGAUGCGUUCCAUUAGUUUGUUGGCGGGGUAACGGCCCACCAAGACUACGAUGGAUAGGGGUUCUGAGAGGAAGGUCCCCCACAUUGGAACUGAGACACGGUCCAAACUCCUACGGGAGGCAGCAGUGAGGAAUAUUGGUCAAUGGACGCGAGUCUGAACCAGCCAAGUAGCGUGAAGGAUGACUGCCCUAUGGGUUGUAAACUUCUUUUAUAUGGGAAUAAAGUGGUCCACGUGUGGAUUUUUGUAUGUACCAUAUGAAUAAGGAUCGGCUAACUCCGUGCCAGCAGCCGCGGUAAUACGGAGGAUCCGAGCGUUAUCCGGAUUUAUUGGGUUUAAAGGGAGCGUAGGCGGAUUGUUAAGUCAGUUGUGAAAGUUUGCGGCUCAACCGUAAAAUUGCAGUUGAUACUGGCAGUCUUGAGUGCAGUAGAGGUGGGCGGAAUUCGUGGUGUAGCGGUGAAAUGCUUAGAUAUCACGAAGAACUCCGAUUGCGAAGGCAGCUCACUGGAGUGUAACUGACGCUGAUGCUCGAAAGUGUGGGUAUCAAACAGGAUUAGAUACCCUGGUAGUCCACACAGUAAACGAUGAAUACUCGCUGUUUGCGAUAUACGGCAAGCGGCCAAGCGAAAGCGUUAAGUAUUCCACCUGGGGAGUACGCCGGCAACGGUGAAACUCAA
rnacentral:rRNA from 1 species